AUUGAACGCUGGCGGCAUGCUUUACACAUGCAAGUCGAACGGUAACAGGGUGCUUGCACCGCUGACGAGUGGCGAACGGGUGAGUAAUGCGUCGGAACGUGCCGAGUAGUGGGGGAUAACGCAGCGAAAGUUGUGCUAAUACCGCAUACGUACUGAGGGAGAAAGUGGGGGACCUUGGGGCCUCACGCUAUUCGAGCCGCCGACGUCUGAUUAGCUAGUAGGUGAGGUAAAGGCUCACCUAGGCGACGAUCAGUAGCGGGUCUGAGAGGAUGAUCCGCCACACUGGGACUGAGACACGGCCCAGACUCCUACGGGAGGCAGCAGUGGGGAAUUUUGGACAAUGGGCGAAAGCCUGAUCCAGCCAUGCCGCGUGUCUGAAGAAGGCCUUCGGGUUGUAAAGGACUUUUGUCGGGGAGGAAAUCCCCAGCGUUAAUACCGCUGGGGGAUGACAGUACCUGAAGAAUAAGCACCGGCUAACUUCGUGCCAGCAGCCGCCGUAA
rnacentral:rRNA from 1 species